rnacentral:lncRNA from 1 species
GGCACCUCAUCCUGCUCGAGACUACGUUGUUUUAAGAACCUGGAGGACUAAUUUACCCAAAGGAGCCUGUGCCCUUUUACUAACCUCUGUGGAUCACGAUCGCGCACCUGUGGUGGGUGUGAGGGUUAAUGUGCUCUUGUCCAGGUAUUUGAUUGAACCCUGUGGGCCAGGAAAAUCCAAACUCACCUACAUGUGCAGAGUUGACUUAAGGGGCCACAUGCCAGAAUGGUACACAAAAUCUUUUGGACAUUUGUGUGCAGCUGAAGUUGUAAAGAUCCGGGAUUCCUUCAGUAACCAGAACACUGAAACCAAAGACACCAAAUCUAGGUGAUCACUGAAGCAACGCAACCGCUUCCACCACCAUGGUGUUUGUUUCUAGAACUUUUGCCAGUCCUUGAAGAAUGGGUUCUGUGUCUAAUCCUGAAACAAAGAAAACUACAAGCUGGAGUGUAGGAAUUGACUAUAGCAAUUUGAUACAUUUUUAAAGCUGCUUCCUGUUUGUUGAGGGUCUGUAUUCAUAGACCUUGACUGGAAUAUGUAAGACUGU